rnacentral:rRNA from 1 species
CCUACGGGUGGCAGCAGUUAGGAAUCUUGCGCAAUGGACGAAAGUCUGACGCAGCGACGCCGCGUGCGGGAUGAAGGCCCUCGGGUUGUAAACCGCUUUCAGCAGGGACGAAAAUGACGGUACCUGCAGAAGAAGCCCCGGCCAACUACGUGCCAGCAGCCGCGGUAAUACGUAGGGGGCGAGCGUUGUCCGGAUUUAUUGGGCGUAAAGAGCUCGUAGGUGGUUUGGUAAGUCGGAUGUGAAAUCUCCAGGCUCAACCUGGAGGGGUCAUUCGAUACUGCCAUGACUAGAGUUCGGUAGGGGAGUGUGGAAUUCCUGGUGGAGCGGUGAAAUGCGCAGAUAUCAGGAGGAACACCCGUAGCGAAGGCGGCACUCUGGGCCGAUACUGACACUGAGGAGCGAAAGCGUGGGGAGCGAACAGGAUUAGAUACCCUUGUAGUC